rnacentral:rRNA from 1 species
AACGAACGCUGGCGGCAGGCUUAACACAUGCAAGUCGAACGCCCCGCAAGGGGAGUGGCGGACGGGUGAGUAACGCGUGGGAACGUACCUUUCAGUUCGGAAUAACUCAGGGAAACUUGUGCUAAUACCGGAUACGCCCGCAAGGGGAAAGAUUUAUCGCUGAAAGAUCGGCCCGCGUUGGAUUAGCUAGUUGGUGGGGUAAAGGCCUACCAAGGCGACGAUCCAUAGCUGGUCUGAGAGGAUGAUCAGCCACACUGGGACUGAGACACGGCCCAGACUCCUACGGGAGGCAGCAGUGGGGAAUAUUGGACAAUGGGCGAAAGCCUGAUCCAGCCAUGCCGCGUGUGUGAUGAAGGCCUUAGGGUUGUAAAGCACUUUCACCGAUGAAGAUAAUGACGGUAGUCGGAGAAGAAGCCCCGGCUAACUUCGUGCCAGCAGCCGCGGUAA